rnacentral:rRNA from 1 species
AGGGCACCACCAGGAGUGGAGCCUGCGGCUUAAUUUGACUCAACACGGGAAAACUCACCCGGCCCGGACACUGGAAGGAUUGACAGAUUGAGAGCUCUUUCUUGAUUCAGUGGGUGGUGGUGCAUGGCCGUUCUUAGUUGGUGGAGUGAUUUGUCUGGUUAAUUCCGAUAACGAACGAGACUCUGGCCUAUUAAAUAGAUCGUUGGCUUACAAACGCCGGCGAGACUUCUUAGAGGGACAGGCGGCGAUUCAGCCGCACGAAACAGAGCAAUAACAGGUCUGUGAUGCCCUUAGAUGUCCGGGGCCGCACGCGCGCUACACUGAAGUGAUCAGCGUGCAUUUUGAAACCUACUCUGUCAAGAGUGGGGAACCCAAUGAACCUUCUUCGUGAUUGGGAUAGGGGAUUGUAAUUAUUCCCCUUGAACGAGGAAUUCCCAGUAAGCGCGAAUCAUAAGUUUGCGCUGAUUACGUCCCUGCCCUUUGUACACACCGCCCGUCGCUACUACCGAUUGAAUGUUU